UAGGGAAUCUUCCGCAAUGGGCGAAAGCCUGACGGAGCAACGCCGCGUGAGUGAUGAAGGUCUUCGGAUCGUAAAACUCUGUUAUUAGGGAAGAACAAAUGUGUAAUUAACUAUGCACGUCUUGACGGUACCUAAUCAGAAAGCCACGGCUAACUACGUGCCAGCAGCCGCGGUAAUACGUAGGUGGCACGCGUUAUCCGGAAGUAUUGGGCGUAAAGCGCGCGUAGGCGGUUUUUUAAGUCUGAUGUGAAAGCCCACGGCUCAACCGUGGAGGGUCAUUGGAAACUGGAAAACUUGAGUGCAGAAGAGGAAAGUGGAAUUCCAUGUGUAGCGGUGAAAUGCGCAGAGAUAUGGAGGAACACCAGUGGCGAAGGCGACUUUCUGGUCUGUAACUGACGCUGAUGUGCGAAAGCGUGGGGAUCAAACAGG
rnacentral:rRNA from 1 species